rnacentral:rRNA from 1 species
UCAGGACGAACGCUAGCGGCGUGCUUAACACAUGCAAGUCGAGCGGUAAGGCCCUUCGGGGUACACGAGCGGCGAACGGGUGAGUAACACGUGGGUGAUCUGCCUUGCACUCUGGGAUAAGCCUGGGAAACUGGGUCUAAUACCGGAUAUGAGCCUGGACUGCAUGGUCCGGGUUGGAAAGAUUUAUNGGUGCGAGAUGGGCCCGCGGCCUAUCAGCUUGUUGGUGAGGUAACGGCUCACCAAGGCGACGACGGGUAGCCGACCUGAGAGGGUGACCGGCCACACUGGGACUGAGACACGGCCCAGACUCCUACGGGAGGCAGCAGUGGGGAAUAUUGCACAAUGGGCGCAAGCCUGAUGCAGCGACGCCGCGUGAGGGAUGACGGCCUUCGGGUUGUAAACCUCUUUUGACAGGGACGAAGCGCAAGUGACGGUACCUGUAGAAGAAGCACCGGCCAACUACGUGCCAGCAGCCGCGGUAAUACGUAGGGUGCGAGCGUUGUCCGGAAUUACUGGGCGUAAAGAGCUUGUAGGCGGUUUGUCGCGUCGAUUGUGAAAACUUGCAGCUCAACUGCAAGCUUGCAGUCGAUACGGGCAGACUAGAGUACUGCAGGGGAGACUGGAAUUCCUGGUGUAGCGGUGAAAUGCGCAGAUAUCAGGAGGAACACCGGUGGCGAAGGCGGGUCUCUGGGCAGUAACUGAC